CGGCGAGUGAGCGGCAAAAGCUCAAAUUUGAAAUCUGGCGCCUUCGGUGUCCGAGUUGUAAUUUGAAGAUUGUAACCUUGGGGUUGGCUCUUGUCUAUGUUUCUUGGAACAGGACGUCACAGAGGGUGAGAAUCCCGUGCGAUGAGAUGCCCAAUUCUAUGUAAGGUGCUUUCGAAGAGUCGAGUUGUUUGGGAAUGCAGCUCUAAGUGGGUGGUAAAUUCCAUCUAAAGCUAAAUAUUGGCGAGAGACCGAUAGCGAACAAGUACAGUGAUGGAAAGAUGAAAAGAACUUUGAAAAGAGAGUGAAAAAGUACGUGAAAUUGUUGAAAGGGAAGGGUUUGAGAUCAGACUCGAUAUUUUGUGAGCCUUGCCUUCGUGGCGGGGUGACCCGCAGCUUAUCGGGCCAGCAUCGGUUUGGGCGGUAGGAUAAUGGCGUAGGAAUGUGACUUUACUUCGGUGAAGUGUUAUAGCCUGCGUUGAUGCUGCCUGCCUAGACCGAGGACUGCGAUUUUAUCAAGGAUGCUGGCAUAAUGAUCCCAAACCGCCCGUCUUGAAACACG
rnacentral:sRNA from 1 species